rnacentral:rRNA from 1 species
GAUGAACGCUAGCGGCAGGCCUAAUACAUGCAAGUCGAACGAGAUUAAGAGGCUUGCUUCUUAUGAAAGUGGCGCACGGGUGCGUAACGCGUAUGCAACCUACCUUAAUCAGGGGGAUAGCCCGAAGAAAUUCGGAUUAAGACCGCAUAAAAACACAGGAUAGCAUUAUCCAAUGUUCAAAUAUUUAUAGGAUUAAGAUGGGCAUGCGUGUCAUUAGCUAGUUGGCGGGGUAACGGCCCACCAAGGCGACGAUGACUAGGGGAUCUGAGAGGAUGACCCCCCCACCUGGUACUGAGAACCGGACCAGACUCCUAAGGGAGGAAGCAGUAAGGAAUAUUGGUCAAGGGAGGGAACUCUGAACCAGCCAUGCCGGGGGAAGGAAGACAGCCCUUGGGGUCGUAAACUGCUUUUAUUCGGGAAUAAACCUUUCUACGUGUAGGAAGCUGAAUGUACCGAAGGAAUAAGGAUCGGCUAACUCCGU